CAGUGGAUUCUGGCUAGCCAUUUUUCAUAUUUGAUUUUAUCUGAACAGAGACUUGAACUCGCUAUCAACUUUCAGUAGACCUGCUAAGGAGCGAUCUCCGUCCAAUUAUCAGCCAGUGAAUUUAUGCCCUGGAAGAGCAUGGAGAGAAUUUGGCAGUGUCGAGUGAUACCUUUGUGAGAAUCUUGGUAUGAUCUGAUUGUCUGAUCUCUUCUUCAGUACCAUGAAUAGAGAUAGUCAAGAAAUUAGACUAUUUCAAGUUCAGCGAGAGGGACUAUAUGGCACUGGAGGCGUCUUUCUUAGAGAGGGAGGAAGAUCAGCUUGCGUAUUGGUGAAGAGAGGAUCCUUGGUUGAAAGUGAUGUUUCUCCAUAUCUUUAUAAGGUUAAGGAAGAGCAGUUGGGGUUCUUGUGAAACGUAGAUUGUAUGAGGUCUAUAAAUUUUUAUGCUCUAUCAUUACUUGAAUGAAUCAUGUAUCACUGGCAAGCAACUUCAGCUCAUACUCUGUAGGAAUUCUAAUUCACAUUGCAUUCUAUUUAAUUGUUUGUUUUAUGUUCCGUUCACACGACCAUGAUUUUUGUUUGCACAAAUCACUAUAUAUAUCCUCGUUGAAUUAAAAGUCCAGCUUUGUGUCAUAAGCAUAUUGUCUAUUUCCCCUUUUGGCUAUUGCAAAUAGCAAGUAUAGUUUGUUGUUUAAAUGUUAGUCUAUUCUGUUUCAAGAAAAAAAGAAUGCGCCAUCGCUGGGGAUGGGUACGAUGAUCAAGAUCGUCGAACGACGAAGGGCACCGAGGUGUUCGUCAGCGGGCUGCCAAUGUCGACCACGGAAAGCAUGCUCCUCUCUCAUCUCCACACCGUGCAGUAGCUGCUGCCCGUAGCAUGUAAUGCAAUGGAAUAAGUUAUCAAGGCAACUAACACUGAACAUAGUUCUUGGGCUCCUUGGCAGCGUCGAGGCAUGGUAUCUGCCCACACCAUUGUCAGGGCCUCCUGCGGGUACCCAUGCUCGACCUACUUCAUCGAAGGUAAAAUUUUGACUAUUUGGGAUCUCCAUUUCAUUAUUCAGAUAUGCUCAAUUCUGAACUAGAACAGAAGCAUAAUAACUUUUAGAAACCAGAACAAUUUCAAGACAUUUCAUUGUUCUACUUUUUUCUAUAGCACCAGCUUAUUGAGACUUCUGUCUUAGAUGUGGUAUGGACAAAUAUACAUGCCACUUUCCAGAUGAAGUGAAGAGACCAAAUGUGGAUGUCAAUCAAUCUCUAGAUGAAGGAAUGAAAGGAAGGAGCUAAGUUAUUGCACUGGAUGUACGGGGUCUAGAAAAGGUGUCACUUUGAUGCCAUUUAUUAGUGCUGUUGUACAAAAGAAAAGGUUGAAUUGAUGAAUUCAUGGGCAACCUUAUAAAAUAAAACUAUAUUGAAUUCAUGUGAUCUUGUGAUUUUAUGUAAGACUAUCCUAUAAAUAAAAACUAUGAUUUCACUGUCUUCUCUAUGUUGUAGCUAGCAGUGCAAGCAUAGAACCUAUGAAACAUGGAUACUUGGUUACAAAAUUCAACUUUCAGUCAAGUUUUGUUCAACAAGGGUCUGAUUGAGACUUCCAUGAAACUGAUCGAUUUGUCGUUGCUGUCAUGUAUGGGAACUUAUGGUUUAGAAGCAGCUAAGUUUUCAACAUGUUACAUGGUAGGGAAUGUAUUUGCUAACACUAUUUGCUAGCACUACAAGUUCCGUAUGCCCUAUGUGACAGAUGGAAAGAUUGAAUGAAGGGUUGUCAUUAUUUGAUGCAAUACUGAUUGUUCCAAUGUUUCAAAUUGUUUGGACCUUCUUCUCUAUUUGUACAGGAUUUGUUUACUUUCAAGAAUAUCAAGUAUUUGAUACGCUCAGGAUAAUUAUGUGUGUGUUAGGCAUGACAUUUGUCUUUGUUGGGAUCUCCUUGCUAGCACCCGAUGACAGUAAGGCUGAUAGGAAAGAUGGUUCAAGCACCUCCGAGGACUCCAUAAUUGACAUAGACAGAAAUGGAAAGAUGCCGAUGGAGGAGACAGACACAGAUGAUAGCAUCUCCUUUGUUACUUCUGUAAAAGUAAGUGCAAAACAUGUACUUUCAAAGGCAAAGUCUGCAUGCUCCAUGUCCCUUGGCCUUGGGGAGAGCACCAUAAGCGCUUCAUCGGUGCUUGUCAUGCUUAUGGUCUCGUCAAGAACAACCGGCUUCAGAGGAAUCAGAAAUGACCGUCCAAAGUACGCCCCUUUAAGAACCACUGAUUGGAGUAACCUAUAGCCGAUGGUAAUAUAUAGGUACACAAGAAAGGUCUUUGUUUUUUAUGUUGCCUAGCGAAUGGCAGUGAAGUUUUUUUGUUGCUUCCAAAGGCACAACUGUUUGUUGUGAUCGUAGCUAGCUAUAACACGAGUGUAUAGUUCACCGUUGUACCCUUCAAAACACUGUCCAUACCAAGCUGCAUAUACAUGUGUAAGUUUUAGAAUACAACAAAUUUUUGGAAGAUUAAGAUUAGAUGGAGUAGCAUUUGUUAGCUUUUAGCUUGUUGCUACUGAAAUAUGAGCUGAAUUUGGGCUAUUAUUUUUGU